CCAAUAGCGUAUAUUAAAGUUGUUGCAGUUAAAAAGCUCGUAGUUGAAUUUCGGGGUUAGUAGGUUGGUCAUGCCUCUGGUAUGUACUGGUCUCACUGAUUCCUCCUUCCUGAUGAGCCGUAAUGCCAUUCAUUUGGUGUUGCGGGGAGUUUGGACUGUUACUGUGAAAAAAUUAGAGUGUUUAAAGCAGGCUAACGCUUGAAUACAUUAGCAUGGAAUAAUGAAAUAGGACGUUCGAUCCUAUUUUGUUGGUUUCUAGGAUUGACGUAAUGAUUAAUAGGGAUAGUUGGGGGCAUUAGUAUUCAAUUGUCAGAGGUGAAAUUCUUGGAUUUAUUGAAGACUAACUACUGCGAAAGCAUUUGCCAAGGAUGUUUUCAUUAAUCAAGAACGAAAGUUAGGGGAUCGAAGACGAUCAGAUACCGUCGUAGUCUUAACCAUAAACUAUGCCGACUAGGGAUCGGAUGAUGUUAAUUUUUUAAUGACUCAUUCGGCGCCUUACG
rnacentral:rRNA from 1 species